GGCGGAGGCCCACGGCUAGGGGGCGAGGCUCCUGCGGGAUGAGAAAACUCUUCUGUAGACUCUUGGCACAGGCUGCAAGACAACUGAGUAGAGUCAUCAUAACAUUUUCCUUUAAGAGGGCUCUAAUUGGACACACCCCAUGACCCGCUUUAUUUUGGAGAAAUGAUUGCCUUCCUAGAGGAGCCACUCCUGCCACUCAGCAUUACCAGGCAAUGGGAUGCUCAGGCCACUGGGUACCUGGAGGGAGGGACCAACAGAGGAUGCCAACCCGAAGCAAACAUCUAUCUGCUCACUUUACUCAAAUCACUGUCUUUACUGGCAAAAUGAGUUAUAAAUAGAAAUACUUUUACCUUUUAUAAAAG